AGUGAACGCUGGCGGUAGGCCUAACACAUGCAAGUCGAACGGCAGCACAGUAAGAGCUUGCUCUUACGGGUGGCGAGUGGCGGACGGGUGAGGAAUACAUCGGAAUCUACUUUUUCGUGGGGGAUAACGUAGGGAAACUUACGCUAAUACCGCAUACGACCUACGGGUGAAAGCAGGGGAUCUUCGGACCUUGCGCGAUUGAAUGAGCCGAUGUCGGAUUAGCUAGUUGGCGGGGUAAAGGCCCACCAAGGCGACGAUCCGUAGCUGGUCUGAGAGGAUGAUCAGCCACACUGGAACUGAGACACGGUCCAGACUCCUAUGGGAGGCAGCAGUGGGGAAUAUUGGACAAUGGGCGCAAGCCUGAUCCAGCCAUACCGCGUGGGUGAAGAAGGCCUUCAGGUUGUAAAGCCCUUUUGUUGGGAAAGAAAAGCAGCAGGUUAAUACCCCGCUGUUCUGACGGUACCCAAAGAAUAAGCACCGGCUAACUUCGUG
rnacentral:rRNA from 1 species